rnacentral:rRNA from 1 species
CCCACAGGCCGUAAACCCAAGGUUGCCAGGGGAAGGUUCGUCCGCCCUGGGUUAGUCGGGACCUAAGCUGAGGCCGAAAGGCGUAGGUGAUGGACAACAGGUUGAUAUUCCUGUACUACCGAUAACCAUUUGAGAGAAGGGAUGACACAGUAGGAUAAGCUAAGCACACUGUUGGUUAUGUGUGCCCAAGCAUUGAGGCAGUCAAAGUAGGCAAAUCCGCUUUGAUAAUGCUGGGAUGUGAUGGGGAGCGAAAUUUAGUAGCGAAGUAGCUGAUUUCACACUGUCAAGAAAAGUCUCUAUCGAGGUUAAAGGUACCCGUACCGCAAACCGACACAGGUGGGUGAGG